rnacentral:rRNA from 1 species
GACGAACGCUGGCGGCGUGCUUAACACAUGCAAGUCGAACGGAAAGGCCCUGCUUUUGUGGGGUGCUCGAGUGGCGAACGGGUGAGUAACACGUGAGUAACCUGCCCUUGACUUUGGGAUAACUUCAGGAAACUGGGGCUAAUACCGGAUAGGAGCUCCUGCUGCACGGUGGGGGUUGGAAAGUUUCGGCGGUUGGGGAUGGACUCGAGGCUUAUCAGCUUGUUGGUGGGGUAGUGGCUUACCAAGGCUUUGACGGGUAGCCGGCCUGAGAGGGUGACCGGCCACAUUGGGACUGAGAUAGGGCCCAGACGCCUACGGGAGGCAGCAGUGGGGAAUAUUGCACAAUGGGGGGAAGCCAGAUGCAGCAACGCCGCGAGCGGGAUAACGGCCUUCGGGUUGUAAACCGCUUUCGCAUGUGACGAAGCGUGAGUGACGGUAAUGGGUAAAGAAGCACCGGCUAACUACGUG